ensembl:lncRNA
CCACGCUGUACACACCCAUGUAAUUUCCUAAAGAUUUCAUUUAUAACUUUGGUAAUGAUAAAUUAUGAAAAUAAAUUAUGCAGUAUGUGGGAAAAAUACUUCCUUUUGUUGGCUUUAAGCACAGAGUCUAAGCUGUCCCUUAGCUCCCGUGCAACACGAAGCAGUGGAAACAGCACGUAGUAAUUCCCUGUCACCCUCUUUCUACCUUAUGCAGUUUUCAUAGAUCUCCAUCAAAGCAGCUCUCAAGCUUUUCUUUCCUGAUGAACUUUUCUUGGGAUGCAUUUCAUAUGUUCAUCUGUCUCUUAUCCCCUUCCCAUGUGUCUCUCCCACAAACACCAGCCUGAGAACUGUUUACAAAAUAGUCCACAGAUCUCCUGGCAGACUCCGAAGCAAAACACAGUCCCCAGCCAAAGUCUGUGUUUUGGAAACUGUUUCUUUGUUUUCAACUUCAGCAGAAACUCUGGCUGCCAGACAUUAUGGAUUUAAUUCAUUUGGCAACACUACUUAGGCAUGGAUGGCUGAUGGACCAUUACAAGUCAUUGGCUACAGAGAAGGUUAAUCAGAGAAAUGUUCUCAUUAACCUGAAUCUGAUUCUCCUCUUCAUUACUGAAAACUAGAUCAUUUUCACUAUGCAGGUAAGGAAUGAGUUACCUUAUUAUAACAUACGUUCAUAUAUAUAUUUAAUGUGUGUGUUUGUAGCUUCUAUGAGAGCUUUAUAAAAUAAAUAAUAUAUUGUGCAGAAACAUUUUAUAUUGCCUUGAGAACAGAAAAACACACUACCUAUAUAGGAACAGAAUACUGCUCGUUUCCAGUGCAUAAAUGCACAAGAACAACUCUCAGAAGUUUAUUUUGUUAGCUGGUGACCUUGAUAGCUCUUCUUUUCUACAGUUCUUCUGUUUUCUGUGUUCUUGUGUUGGCUUCCUAUUUUCUUUCUUUCUUUUUUUUUUAAUUUAGUAUCCUGUCCAUUUAAUAAUUCAAUAUUUUAUGAAGAUAUUUCAUUUUCCUUGAACUGAUUCCUUGCUUAAAGUACAUGACGUUCCAUUCCUUUUGGUGGUGAUUCUCAUUUUGUCUACCCAGUUUUUCACAAAACCUUAGUAGACUCACGAAUGGUACACUACUGUCUCUUAACAAAGUGCUUAUGUUUUUAAAACUGAUCUUCUCAUUGUGAGCUUUAUUUCUCAGACUGUCAGGUAAAAACCUACUUAUUUAUUUAUUUUGGCAAACACAUGAUGCCAAUAUUUCAUGGUGAGUAUUGUGCAGAUAGCAGAUCAACUUGCUUCCUGAGCAAUUCAAACAUGACAAAGUUAUUCACCUAUUUUUUCAACUAUUCAUGAAAAUGGACUUCAUGCAUGCUUCCAUUUAUGUGCAUAGGAGAGAUCAAGACUAAAGGAGCCCAGGGUGUCCUCUAUUUGCAGCCACUGGACUUUACUGCAAGAUUCAUGCUGUAGAGAGAGCUGGAAGCAGUACUAACAAUUUAUCUGGAGAAACCAAGAGCACCACCCAGUUACAGGCAGUUGGCCACAUGGAGAUCUAGGUUAAAACUACCUUGGCUGGAGAAGAGAGUGGAAGCAAGGCUACCACAGAAAAAGAUGUGUCCUUGCUGCUCCUAGAAAGGAAGGAAAGCAUGAAGGCAUCUGCAGCCUCUUGGGGCUGGGAAGGGACUUUCAUCCCCAGCCCUUUCGUGUCUGUGAGGUAAGAAGGCUCCUCUGGUGACUUUCCUAGAUCCCAUCCAGAGGCAUGUGGGUUCAUUUGUUCAACAGUAAGCCCAGGUACACAACCCAGGGCUGGGCAUUUCAGCAACUGCCAAGAUCGUGGCUUCAUCCCAUGUGACAGUCAGCCUGACUCAUUCUCCAGAGACUUCCAAUGACUUCAGAGGAGCAUAGCAAGGUUAUGCUCCUGGCUAAGGUUCCCAAAGUCAGUGGGAUGUAGCUGGAUAAAAGUGCUAAAAGUUCAAAACUGCAACAUUCGCUAUUGCAACAUCUAAAGCUUUUUAUGGACUGAUCUGCUGGGGAAAUUCUGGUUAGGUAAACGCAGUGGUGUUUUACAAUUGACUCUAAUGGCCCUAGAAGUCAUUUAAAGAAUUCUGUACAAAAGCUAAUGCUGCUACUCUAGGUAUUAACUGGCUUUGGUCUGAUAAUAUUGAGAGAUCAAAGCCACCCCUAAGUCUUGCUGUAAUGAAAGAUAGGUUUCAACUGUUCCUUAAAAGCAGUGAAUCUUUUCAGUUCUUUUUCUUCUAAAAGCUCUUUCUAUUAGACGUAUUUUGAUAGAGAGAUGUAUUUCUAUUAGAUGUAUUUCAAAAAUAGGAAAUGUCCCUAUUUUUUUUUUUCCACUAAAUGCUCCUAUCUGUAUGUUAAAAAAACCUAGCAGGCUUGCAGGUACUGAAAAAAAAAAAGCCCUCAAGGGAACAGCAUUUUGAAAUGGAACAGGAUUUAAAGUGAGAAUUCAUGAAUAUCUCUUUUGCUGGACGUGACAGCAAAUCUUGCAGAGAUCUGUGGUGCAGAGAUCUGUGGUGCACAUAUCAGCACAGUCCAGGUGGGAGACAGCCGUGACUGCACAGCCCUCUGCACUCUAUAAUGGUGGAGAAGGAGGGCAGCACUCAGAGCAGUAACUGUGAGCCCAGCCCAGCUCUGAGGUGAGGAAGAUGAGGGUACUCCAGUACAGGUGGUGCAGGUAAAGGUGCAGAGGCCUGUGACUGGAGAGCAGGCUGUCCACAACAGCUCCUAAACUACGGUCCUGCUCCAUGAAACUGGGCCACUCUCAGCUUUUUGGCUUGGUUCUUAAUGAAGAAAUUCAGGAUUGUGGGAACCUCUUUGAGCUCAGCACUAGCACACGUAUCACUAGCCAUCUGUUUUGCCUUUUGAUGGUUAGUUCUUUAUUAAUGUUGAGUCUGCAGGUGUCUUCUGAAUACAAAUCACUGUACUGCACUGUGUAUCUCUAAGACAAAAAGCAAUUACAGGCACUGCCAACUUGAAAACAUCUAUCCUAAAGAAGGUCUUGCAGGUCCAGGGCAUGAAGUGUAGCUGUGAGACAGACCAAUGAAGAGUUAUUCCAGUGCUCCCCUGUUAUGUAGCUUAGCUCAGUUCACUUCGUCUGACCAUGCCUUCAUCUCACUCUCUCUACACAGUAUCCUUAAGCCAAUGGAUGACAAAAGUCCCAGGAGCUGAGAACUACCAGCUGCCCUAGGUCCAUACUCCAGCACAGCACAGACUAUGGGGUGGUAGGAAGUAUGGCACCACACAAGAUUCUGGUCUAAAUUUGUCUCCCUGAUUGAAAGUCACUAAGGCCCAAGAAUGUACAACGAGAUAGUUGAUUGUUCUACUUAACAGAACUUUGGUUGUAUUGUCAUCGGGUUCCUUUCUGUCACUGAGCAGCUGGACAAAGCAGUGCCCUGCCACACAAACAUACAUCAGCUGAAAGCCUGGAAAUACUUCUAUGUAGAGAUGGAGGGAACACAGCUGCUUGAUACAGAAAGCAGAUGAAAAGGUAAAUGUGUGAAUAGAGUUUAUGUGGAGCGGAGGAGGCACAAAAUAAUGAAUGUCAUAGAAAAACAAGGUCUCCUAUUUGUUCCUCUGCAUAAUGCCAAAACAAGACAAUUUUAAAUGGGAGAGAAAAGCAGCACAUCCCGAGUGGUGCAUUAUUAAUUUACAGUAUUAACCGAUGCAUCAAAAUGAAGGAUUUAAUAAAAAGACAAGUAAAGAAAUGUCUUUGUAUGGAGAACAAGAAAAACCUAAACCCUGCUGACAGCACCAAGUGACAAAAAAACAUGACCCUAACCAACUGCUAGUGGGUUUCUUGUCUCUUCACUUUAGCAAUGAUCUGAACAAGAGUUUAAGAUGGUCAGAUCAACUCUCUGGUCAGGUGUUACAGUUCUGUACAGAUGGCUUUAGGCAUGAAGUUCCUAAAAUGCUCCACGUUUACAGCACAAUGACACCGUUUGGUAGAGCAAAACACUAUUCUUCAACAUAGUCAUCACCAUUAGAUGUGCAUUUUUGCCAGCGAUGAACAAGUGCCUGCAUGACUCCUCACUUGCAAAAAAUCUGCACCAUCAGAAGUGCCCCACUGUCACUGCUGAAACGCACCACCCACUGCCUCACUGCGCUCACAGCCACUGUUCGGUCUCCAUCACGUUCAUCAAGUGUUGAUGAAUGUCAAUGGGUGCAAUUUUUUCCAUAUGGAGGAAUUCAGUGACACACCUUUCCUUCAUACACGCUUCCAUGUCAGACGCCAUUGUGUCAGACUGCCCCUCUGCUGCCAUCAGUCACAUGGCAACAACAUGGAAUGGAAUAUUGGUGGGAAGGUUCAGCCUCUCUUGCUGUGCCACCAACAUCUGCCUCUGAUGUCAUGGGCCAACAUAAUAAAAUAGGAGGAAUUACUUCUGUAGCAGCCAUUGUAUGUUUCACAAGACUUCAGCUGCAUGCACUACUGUUGUCAAUAACUUGUGGGUUUUUUUUUUGUAGCCUGAGCAACAGCAAGGAAACUGAAUUUGGCCAGAAACCAAACUGAAGAGGAGUACAUUCAUUCCUGGAGUGACUCUACUGACCUCCCUAGAGCUGCUCCAGAGUUCAGGCCAGCCUUGACCUGCUUUUCUGCAAAUUGUGUGGCUGGGGAAAUGCUGUUCCAUCCAUCUUUGCUCAAAGUAAUAACAAGAGAAUUCAGAAGGGUUCAGGGAAGGGUGACAAACAUGACUAGAGCAGAAGAAAGCUCUCAUAUCAAGGGAGAUUGAUAAGGUUGCAGUUGCUUCUCUUAGAAAUGAGACAAAUGAAAAGGAGACGUAAAAAAAGGAGACAAAAUAAUAAAUAGUCUAGGAGAACUCAUCCACACACCCUUUGUGAUCUGCUAAAGGGCUUCUAGAGGUCCAUGGCAAUGUAAUCAAAUUAAGGCCCUGCUACCUGUCUCUCCUCUCUGGCUGGCUGCACUGCUGGGCUCUCUGCUUGAGUCUCUUUUUGACUGUUGGGGUAUAAAGACUGAAAACCAGUACAGUACUAUACGGCAGACAACAAAUGACAUUUGAAGCGAUUGUGCUUUGCAGCAAGACUUUCACCAGGUUCAACCUAACUCCUACCUUCAACUCCUUGAGUUCAAAACCAGCAAGGCACUGCUUGGAAGAGAAACUUGUGCAAAUAAUUUCAUGUCACACAGUGGACUAUGUUUUUAAAAGGGCUCUUCCUGUGCUCUUCUGUCUUAGUUACAUCUCUGCACAAGCCAUUCCUAUGGCUGAAAAGACCACAUGCAUUUUUUUUUUUAAUCAUUUAUGAACUAAUGUAACACCGGAGUCAUCAAAGCUUGAAAGCCACAAAGAUAAACAGGCUAAAAUACAUUACAUGUCUUGAGCUGUCCUAGCAGUUCGUUGCUUCCUCUGAAUGAAGCACUUUGCACCCUGCCAUUCCUACCGCUGGUAUUUAUUUGCCUUGGGCUCUGCUGAGCUGAUGUGGUCACACUGCAGUCAGAAACAUAACAUGACAAAAAAACAGGAACACUCAUCUGCUUGGAUGGUGAUCUGAGCCAACUGACUGUCACUGCAGCAAGUGACAAUUGGGUUCCACUUUUAGAUGUGAGACACUCAGCUUAGUUUCUUUUUCUUUCUUCUUCUUCUCUUUUUCUUUCUUUUUCUUUUUCUUUUCCUUUUCCUUAUUUCUUUUUCUUUCUUUUUCUUUCUCUUUUUCUUUUCCUUUUUCUUUUCCUUUUUUCUUUUUCUUUUUCUUUCUUUUUCUUUUUCUUUUUCUUUUUCUUUUUCUUUUUCUUUUUCUUUUCCUUUUUCUUUUCCUUUUUUCUUUUUCUUUUUUUUUUUUCUUUUUCUUCUUUUUCUUUUUCUUUUCUCUUUCUCUUUCUUUUUCUUUUUUCUUGUUUUUUU